rnacentral:rRNA from 1 species
UUUCCCUCAGGAUAGCUGGCACUCGCUUGAGCGAGUCUCAUCUGGUAAAGCGAAUGAUUAGAGGCCUUGGGGCCGAAACGACCUCAACCUAUUCUCAAACUUUAAAUGGGUGAGAUCUCUGGCUUGCUUGAACGUUGAAGCCACGAGAUUUUUACUUGGAUCAGAGUGCCAAGUGGGCCAAUUUUGGUAAGCAGAACUGGCGCUGUGGGA